rnacentral:rRNA from 1 species
AUACGUAGGGUGCGAGCGUUAAUCGGAAUUACUGGGCGUAAAGCGUGCGCAGGCGGUUUUGCAAGUCUGAUGUGAAAGCCCCGGGCUUAACCUGGGAACGGCCUUGGAGACUGGCCGGCUAGAGGACGGCAGAGGGGGGUAGAAUUCCACGUGUAGCAGGGGAAUGCGUAGAGAUGGGGAGGAAUACCGGUGGCGAAGGCAGCCCCCUGGGAUGAUACUGACGCUCAGGCACGAAGGCGUGGGGAGCAAACAGGAUUAGAUACCCUGGUAGUCCACGCCCUAAACGAUGUCAAUUAGCUGUUGGGGGUUUGAAUCCUUGGUAGCGUAGCUAACGCGUGAAAUUGACCGCCUGGGGAGUACGGCCGCAAGGUUAA